rnacentral:rRNA from 2 species
GUCGUGAGGCAUGCUGGAGGUAUCAGAAGUGCGAAUGCUGACAUAAGUAACGAUAAAGCGGGUGAAAAGCCCGCUCGCCGGAAGACCAAGGGUUCCUGUCCAACGUUAAUCGGGGCAGGGUGAGUCGACCCCUAAGGCGAGGCCGAAAGGCGUAGUCGAUGGGAAACGGGUUAAUAUUCCCGUACUUGGUGUUACUGCGAAGGGGGGACGGAGAAGGCUAUGUUGGCCGGGCGACGGUUGUCCCGGUUUAAGCGUGUAGGUGUGUGUUCCAGGUAAAUCCGGUUCACUUUAACACUGAGGCGUGACGACGAGGCACUACGGUGCUGAAGCAACAAAUGCCCUGCUUCCAGGAAAAGCCUCUAAGCAUCAGGUAACAUCAAAUCGUACCCCAAACCGACACAGGUGGUCAGGUAGAGAAUACCAAGGCGCUUGAGAGAACUCGGGUGAAGGAACUAGGCAAAAUGGUGCCGUAACUUCGGGAGAAGGCACGCUGACACGUAGGUGAAGUGAUUUACUCAUGGAGCUGAAGUCAGUCGAAGAUACCAGCUGGCUGCAACUGUUUAUUAAAAACACAGCACUGUGCAAACACGAAAGUGGACGUAUACGGUGUGACGCCUGCCCGGUGCCGGAAGGUUAAUUGAUGGGGUCAGCGCAAGCGAAGCUCCUGAUCGAAGCCCCGGUAAACGGCGGCCGUAACUAUAACGGUCCUAAGGUAGCGAAAUUCCUUGUCGGGUAAGUUCCGACCUGCACGAAUGGCGUAAUGAUGGCCAGGCUGUCUCCACCCGAGACUCAGUGAAAUUGAACUCGCUGUGAAGAUGCAGUGUACCCGCGGCAAGACGGAAAGACCCCGUGAACCUUUACUAUAGCUUGACACUGAACAUUGAGCCUUGAUGUGUAG